CUUGCUUAAAUGAGAUACUUUCUUAUUUCGACAGGUUUUGCAUCUUCUCGUUUGAAUGUGAUGUUCCUUCUGAAUUGACUUCCUCACUCUGGCAGUUAAACACCUGAGCAGUCAGAUCACACCAAGGCACCAGGUUCUCCUGUUGGGACAUCUUUGAGCUCCAACCUCAGCUCACCAUCGUCUUCUGUUUCUCUAUUUAGAACAAUCAGAGCAGGAAGCUGCAAACAAUAAACUUGGAGGCGCCCCACCCACGACCACAACCUGUUUUUAGUGACCCAUGAACAGCCCUCACCCAACGCUGCGGCCAGAAAACAAUGGCCUUCCACCGUCUGAGCCCCUGAGCUUUCAACGUGUUCAUCGUAUAGUGGCUCGGUCACACUGGAACCUUUCCCACCCAAAAAAAGAAGUAAAAAAUUAAUAAAUAAAAAUAAUUCAGUCAUGCCAGGUUA